CGGCGACUCUGUGCUCUUUAUACCAGGGCAAGGUUUGUUAAAGGUUUAUUGAAUGAGGCAACGUUGAUGGUGGAGCAGAUUUCAUUGAGACCUGGACAGCAACAGCGCACACAGAGAGUUCCUCUAUCCUUACGUGACUGUUGUAAUAAAGCAUCAUGUUUAACGCUUCUGGCAGCAUGUCAGACAUUGUUAGUGAAACAUUGCGCUGAUAUCAAGGUAAUUUAAACUGAUCCCUGGGUCUUCUUCUUCUGAUACUCAUGUUAAUAUGGAAAGCCAGAUCACACAUGCGCUGAAUGAGAUAAGGAAUGUUGUUGCUCAUCUUAAUGAAAGUCCUAUUAAUGCUGAUGUAGCAGAUAACAUCGGGUUAAAUGCAUCUCCUGCUAACAGUGAAAAUGUAAUAAAUCAAAAUCUGUACGGUGA